AAGAAACAAUACAAUAUUACUGGCCAGAUAGUAUUAUUGAUUAAUUCAACAAACAGUUAUGUAGCAUCUACUGGUACCCUGGAACUGUGCUGAACUUUAUAGCUACACAGAUGACUAAGACGCAAUUUGGCCUUGCCAGUUCAUGACUGAGUUAUACAUGAACAGAACAAGAUCCUCAUGAAACCUCUGAUAUGGACAUGGUCAGAUGUUGAAGGCCAGAGGCCGGCUCUGCUCAUCUGCACAGCUGCAGCAGGACCCACGCAGGGAGUUAAGGGUUAUGGCAAGCCCUUUGAGCCAAGAAGUGUGAAAAACAUACACUCUACUCCUGCUUACCCAGAUGCCACAAUGCACAGACAACUCCUGGCUCCGGUGGAAGGAAGGAUGGCAGAGACAUUGAAUCAGAAACUCCAUGUUGCCA
rnacentral:lncRNA from 1 species